rnacentral:rRNA from 1 species
GUCAGAGCCCUCGUUGUGGGGUGAUGGCGUGCCUUUUGAAGAAUGAGCCUGCGAGUCAGUGCUCGGUGGCGAGGUUAACCCGUCUGGGGGUAGCCGUAGCGAAAGCGAGUCCGAAUAGGGCGUUUGAGUCGCCGGGUCUGGACCCGAAGCGGAGUGAUCUACCCAUGGCCAGGGUGAAGCAGCAGUAAGAUGUUGUGGAGGCCCGAACCCACUUAGGUUGAAAACUGAGGGGAUGAGCUGUGGGUAGGGGUGAAAGGCCAAUCAAACUCCGUGAUAGCUGGUUCUCCCCGAAAUGCAUUUAGGUGCAGCGUCACGUGUUUCUUGCCGGAGGUAGAGCUACUGGAUGGCCGAUGGGCCCUCACAGGUUACUGACGUCAGCCAAACUCCGAAUGCCGGUAAGUGAGAACGUGGCAGUGAGACUGCGGGGGAUAAGCUUCGUAGUCGAGAGGGAAACAGCCCAGAUCGCCGGCUAAGGCCCCUAAGCGUGUACUAAGUGGAAAAGGAUGUCCGGUCGCGAAGACAACCAGGAGGUUGGCUUAGAAGCAGCCACCCUUGAAAGAGUGCGUAAUAGCUCACUGGUCUAGUGGCUGGGCGCCGACAAUGUAGCGGGGCUCAAGUACACCGCCGAAGCCGCGGCACUCACAGUUUUGACUGUGGGUGGGUAGGGGAGCGUCGUGCAGCCGUAGAAGCAGCAGGGUGACCUAGUUGUGGAGGCUGUGCGAGUGAGAAUGCAGGCAUGAGUAGCGAAUGACACGUGAGAAACGUGUCCUCCGGAUGACCAAGGGUUCCUGGGCUAGGUUAAUCCUCCCAGGGUGAGUCGGGACCUAAGGCGAGGCCGACAGGCGUAGUCGAUGGACAACGGGUUGAUAUUCCCGUACCCGUGUCAGAUCGCCCCUGAUGAAUCAGUUGUACUAACCGUCCUGAAGCCGCGAGAUCACCUUCGGGUGACGAGCUGGUGGAUGCACGGGACCUCGGCUGGUAGUAGUCAAGCGAUGGGGUGACGCAGGAAGGUAGUGGGGCCAGUCAGUGGUUGUACUGGUGUAAGCCUGUAGGGCGAGAUCUAGGCAAAUCCGGAUCUCAUAUAGCCUGAGAGGUGAUGCGUAGCCGUUGCGGUGAAUUCCAUGAUCCUAUGCUGCCGAGAAAAGCCUCUAGCGAGAUCUGAUGUGGCCCGUACCCUAAACCAACACAGGUGGUCAGGUAGAGAAUACCAAGGAGAUCGAGAGAACUGUGGUUAAGGAACUCGGCAAAAUGCCCCCGUAACUUCGGGAGAAGGGGGACCUCGCAUGGUGACCGGAUUUACUCCGUGAGCUGUGUGGGGUCGCAGAGACCAGAGAGAAGCGACUGUUUACUAAAAACACAGGUCCAUGCGAAGUCGUAAGACGAUGUAUAUGGACUGACGCCUGCCCGGUGCUGGAAGGUUAAGAGGACCGGUUAGCCGUAAGGCGAAGCUGAGAAUUUAAGCCCCAGUAAACGGCGGUGGUAACUAUAACCAUCCUAAGGUAGCGAAAUUCCUUGUCGGGUAAGUUCCGACCUGCACGAAUGGCGUAACGACUUCUCUGCUGUCUCAACCACAGACUCGGCGAAAUUGCAGUACGAGUAAAGAUGCUCGUUACGCGCGGCAGGACGAAAAGACCCCGGGACCUUCACUAUAGCUUGGUAUUGGUGUUCGGUUCGGUUUGUGUAGGAUAGGUGGGAGACUGUGAAGCGGGCACGCCAGUGUUCGUGGAGUCGUUGUUGAAAUACCACUCUGAUCGUAUUGGAUACCUCAACCUCGGACCAUGAUCUGGUUCAGGGACAGUGCCUGGUGGGUAGUUUAACUGGGGCGGUUGCCUCCCAAAAUGUAACGGAGGCGCCCAAAGGUUCCCUCAGCCUGGUUGGCAAUCAGGUGUUGAGUGCAAGUGCACAAGGGAGCUUGAC